rnacentral:rRNA from 1 species
AUUGAACGCUGGCGGCAUGCCUUACACAUGCAAGUCGAACGGCAGCACGGGAGCAAUCCUGGUGGCGAGUGGCGAACGGGUGAGUAAAGUAUCGGAACGUGCCCAGUCGUGGGGGAUAACGUAGCGAAAGUUACGCUAAUACCGCAUACGAUCUAUGGAUGAAAGCGGGGGAUCGCAAGACCUCGCGCGAUUGGAGCGGCCGAUAUCAGAUUAGGUAGUUGGUGGGGUAAAGGCUCACCAAGCCGACGAUCUGUAGCUGGUCUGAGAGGACGACAAGCCACACUGGGACUGAGACACGGCCCAGACUCCUACGGGAGGCAGCAGUGGGGAAUAUUGGACAAUGGGCGCAAGCCUGAUCCAGCCAUUCCGCGUGCAGGAUGAAGGCCUUCGGGUUGUAAACUGCUUUUGUACAGAACGAAAAGGCUCUGGUUAAUACCCGGGGCUCAUGACGGUACUGUAAGAAUAAGCACCGGCUAACUACGUGCCAGCCGCCGCCGUAA